CUUGUGCGUGGAGAACAUGCAAAGAAGAUAUAGAAGGAAAAGCUAAAAAGCAGAUGCUCGCCUUUUUCUUUAGGAGAUUCUUGUUGAGAACAUCCUGAAUCGACCACGAGAACAUGUGCAUCUCCAGCUCGCUCUGCUCCCAGCUCCCGUACCUGCUGGUCGCCUCCUUCCCCCUCGUCGACGUCGACCUCGCACGAAAGCCGUGGCCAUCAGGCGAUUCCUGCCGCAUCAGCACGACG
rnacentral:lncRNA from 1 species